UAAGUAUUGUUUUUUUAGCUAUUGUUUUUGUUUUCUCAUGUCAUUUAAUGCUUUUAUUUUAUUGUUCUCUCUCCCCCUCCCCCCAUGUCCCCUCUCACAUUAUAUCUACGUAUUUUUCUCUAUCGAUCUGUUGCUCUCCCUGAGGUUUCUCCUCGUUUUUAUCACCUGUUAAAGGGUUUUUUGAGGAGUUUUUCCUGGUCCACUGUGACGGUCAAAGGACAGAAGGUGUUGUACUCUGCACAGUCUGGAAAAAAAGUUUCUUUCUUUCUUUCUUUCUUUCUUUCUUCCUUUCUUUCUUUCUUUCUUUCUGGUAGUGGGAUCCCUCUUCUGUGGGUCUCCCUGAGGUUUCUCCUCGUUUUUAUCACCCGUUAAAGGGUUUUUUGAGGAGUUUUUCCUGGUCCACUGUGAGGGUCAAAGGACAGAAGGUGUUGUACUCUGCACAGUCUGGAAAAAAAAGUUUCUUUCUUUCUUUCUUUCUUUCUUUCUCUCUUUCUUUGAGGUUUCUCCUCGUUUUUAUCACCCGUUAAAGGGUUUUUUGAGGAGUUUUUCCUGGUCCACUGUGACGGUCAAAGGACAGAAGGUGUUGUACUCUGCACAGUCUGGAAAAAAAAGUUUCUUUC